rnacentral:rRNA from 1 species
AUGAACGCCAGCGACAGGCCUAACACAUGCAAGUCAGGGGCAGCACAAGGAGCAAUCUGAGGUGGCGACCGGCGCACGGGUGAGUAACACGUAUGCAACCCGCCUGUAAGCGGGGAAUAACCCGUUGAAAGACGGACUAAUACCGCAUAAUACUAAAUUACUGCAUGGUAAUUUAUUUAAACAUUUAUGGCUUACAGAUGGGCAUGCGCAUGAUUAGCUAGUUGGAGAGGUAACGGCUCCCCAAGGCAACGAUCAUUAGGGGUUCUGAGAGGAAGGUCCCCCACACUGGUACUGAGACACGGACCAGACUCCUACGGGAGGCAGCAGUGAGGAAUAUUGGUCAAUGGACGAGAGUCUGAACCAGCCAAGUCGCGUGCAGGAAGAAUGUCCUUAAUGGAUUGUAAACUGCUUUUGCAGGGGAAUAAAGUGCAUCACGUGUGAUGUUUUGUAUGUACUCUGCGAAUAAGGAUCGGCUAACUCCGUGCCAGCCGCUGC